rnacentral:rRNA from 1 species
GACGAACGCUGGCGGCGUGCCUAAUACAUGCAAGUCGAGCGGAUCUUCAUUAGCUUGCUUUUGAAGAUCAGCGGCGGACGGGUGAGUAACACGUGGGCAACCUGCCUGUAAGACUGGGAUAACUUCGGGAAACCGGAGCUAAUACCGGAUAAUCCUUUUCCUCUCAUGGGGAAAAGCUGAAAGACGGUUUCGGCUGUCACUUACAGAUGGGCCCGCGGCGCAUUAGCUCGUUGGUGAGGUAACGGCUCACCAAGGCGACGAUGCGUAGCCGACCUGAGAGGGUGAUCGGCCACACUGGGACGGAGACACGGCCCAGACUCCUACGGGAGGCAGCAGUAGGGAAUCUUCCGCAAUGGACGAAAGUCUGACGGAGCAACGCCGCGUGAGCGAUGAAGGCCUUCGGGUCGUAAAGCUCUGUUGUCAGGGAAGAACAAGUACCGGAGUAACUGCCGGUACCUUGACGGUACCUGACCAGAAAGCCACGGCUAACUACGUGCCAGCAGCCGCCGUAAAAC